rnacentral:rRNA from 1 species
CUACGGGAGGCAGCAGUGAGGAGUAUUGCACAAUGGGGGGGACCCUGAUGCAGCAACGCCGCGUGGAGGAUGACGCAUUUCGGUGUGUAAACUCCUUUUAUAUGUCAAGAAAAUGACGGUAGCAUAUGAAUAAGCACCGGCUAACUCCGUGCCAGCAGCCGCGGUAAUACGGAGGGUGCAAGCGUUACUCGGAAUCACUGGGCGUAAAGGACGCGUAGGCGGGUUGGAAAGUCAGGUGUGAAAUCCUACAGCUUAACUGUAGAACUGCACUUGAAACUUCUAAUCUAGAGUAUGGGAGGGGGAGAUGGAAUUAGUGGUGUAGGGGUAAAAUCCGUAGAUAUCACUAGGAAUACCUAAAGCGAAGGCGAUCUCCUGGAACAUUACUGACGCUAAGGCGUGAAAGCGUGGGGAGCAAACAGGAUUAGAUACCCCCGUAGUC